rnacentral:tRNA from 1 species
AGCAGCAUGGCUCAGUGGAAAGAGCCUGGGCUUGGGAGCCAGAGGCUAUGGGUUCGAAUCCCGGAUCUGCCA